AGGCGGAGAGCGGCCGGGGCCGGGGGGCGGGCGGGCAGCCGGCAGGCAGCCCGCAGAGCCCCGCAGCCGCCCCGCUCCCCCGCCGCACGGCCCCGGCCGAGAGGGGGCGCCCGGGGACAAAAUGGCGGGGGCUGCGCUGAGGGGGCCGCGCCCGGCAGCAGCUGCGCCGCACCCCUCGGUUGGGUUUGGGUCUCCCGUUGUCUCCCUCAGUACCUCCCUCCAGCCCUCAAACACGGUCCCAUCCCGGCCUGGCUUCAACCGCAGGGCUCCAACUUGCGUGGGGCUGUGAGGGGCAGCACAGGGGUGGGGAGAUGCCCACCCCUUGAGGUUCCCCCAUUCCCCUCAGCAGUGCCUGGGUUCAGGGACAUCGGAGCCCUGCUUGCCUGGGCACCGUGAGGUUGCCACGGGCCGGUGGGGUUUAGGAAAUGGGGUAAUAUCUGCCCGGGAUCCUGAGGAAGAAGGAUGGCGUGGAACGGGUGGACGGGUCAGAAGCUCGGCUUGUGAAAAGGAAAGGUCCAGUAACAGGCUUCAAGUAGUGGAGAGAAAAACAACAGACAGCCGUUUACUUCCAAGAUCUCGAUGUUAGGAAUGUACACAGAGCGCUCAGCGGUUUCCCGUGCUGAGGUCUCGCACUUCAGAUUAUUGAGUUGUUCUAUUGUACAUGGGCAUGUUUUUUAAUGCAGGUUACUGUGGUCACAAGAGACGGAAGCUAGUAUCACAGCUGAGGUUCCUAUGGAAACAGUCCUUUAUGUGAUCAUGCUUGGCUGUGUCUCCUGUACUUCUCCAAUAACUUCUGAAGCUGUUGGGUAGUUUCCACCAAAUCUAUCUCAAAUAUAAUUAAGUUAUUUCAUGAAAAUAGUCAGCCGGUAGAGCUGAGAGAUCCUGUAAAUGUCCCAAAGGCUGCAACACAAACUUACCUUUUAUUAAACAGUGAUUCAUGUGGAUGAGAGACUGCAUAAAUGUCUCAGUAAUGACAAAAGUUUCAAUUACAGUUCAUUAUGGGUCUCAGUAUAAAUCUGUGGGAAACCAGAAUUCUUGGGCUCAUGUUCUCCCAGAAUAACUUGUUUAAUGUCCUCCAGUCAGAGGUAGGUGCAAGUGGAAGGGGUAUAUGAAGAGGGAAAGAGAUAAAUGAGAAAUUACAAACGUCUGUAUUUUGCAAGUCAUUUCAUCUGCUUUGUUGUGUGGGCCUGGCCGUAAAGCUUGGUAUGACAGGGGCUUCACAAAACUGAGAUUAAAGGGGGGGAAAAAAAAAGUAGAAAGUACACAUAGAAAUACAAGAUCCAUUAGGACAGACAGCUGAAGAUGAGAAGGAAACUGAAGGCACUUGGAAUGGGAAGGUGCGGAGAGGUUUUCACAGUGGGGCAGAGAUUACGGCAAUGGUAUCUUCUUCUGAAUUCUUCUCUGAGGAGAGCCCUGCUGCUGCUAGGAGCAAGCUGUCUGGUUUUACAAAAGUCAGAAGAGAUGGUACUUGGAAAGAAAGUAAGAGAAUGCUCAAGAGUCAGUUAAGGUGAGACAAGGAAAACUUGUUGGAGGUAAAAAACUUCCCCAAGUACCAAGUUCUGGGAGAGGAGCUAUCAAAAUAAAUUUAGUAUUUUCAACAAUAAUAACUCACAGAAUGGGACUGCAUUAUGUUGCCAGGCCACUGAUGCUGAAUGGCCAUUCUCAGAUGACUUUUUAGAAGAAAAAAAAAAAAAAGAGGGCUGUCUUCAGCUGAUACAAUGACCUAAAUCUAAUCUAAUCUAAUUUGAAGAUAGAAGAUUCAAUCAAGAUUUUUGUCUUGUAAAUUGUAAGUCAAGUCCAUGGUAUCUCAGAGUAUCUGGGGCAAUAACACAGAACCUUGGUUUAUCCUGGGGAAAACUCAGAUGAGCAGUUGCACUCGCUUUGAAGAAGUCUUCCUCACCCUUCUGAAACAAGACAGGCACCAUUUAGCUCCUACUGCUCAGUUGAGAGAUCUAUGUUACCAUAUAGAGAAUUAAAACAGACAAAAAAGUUUCAAAAGUCAAAUGAGUCUGAUGUUGUCUUUGGAAAUGUAUUUGCAUGUGCUGGAAGGAAAAGAUACUGUAUUUUAUCAUUGCCUUGUUAUGUGAUAGCUGGAAAUGAAAGAAAUACUGUGUUCACUAGACUGGCAGAGGCGUUGAAUUUUUUAUCACUAUUCAAAGUGAAAAUGGUUCUUACUAACUGAUUGUGUAGCUAUAAACAUACAUAAAAAAAAAAAAAAAGAAACAGAUUGCAUAUGCAAUUAACUUAUGCUGGAAAUUUCCUGUAGAUUAUUUAAUUAAUCUAAGAUACUUCAUUUGAGGGCAAGCAUUUUGUUUUUGUUCAACUUACAUGUUUGAAUUCGCAUAACCUUCAUGCCAUGAUCAUAUUUUGUUCUCAUAGAUAUUCUUUAUUUGCAGGUCUUCUUUCUUGUCAUAGCCAGGGUCUCCAUUGCUGUCUCUGAAGACCUAUUCUUUUGUCCUUAUCAGUUAGUGUUUUAUAAAUCAGUGCCUCUGAUUCACAGCUCUCCUGCUGAGACUUGAUGCUUACUCCAUUGUUUUUCAUCCCAAAGUUAUUAAAGAGGUAAUGAAAUAAAUACGAACAUACCACCAGAUAAAUAAAGAUGUAUUAAGAUUUUGAAAUCUCUCUUUUCUUUUCUCUUUUCUUUUCUUUUCUUUUCUUUUCUUUUCUUUUCUUUUCUUUUCUUUUCUUUUCUUUUCUUUUCUUUUCUUUUCUUUUCUUUUCUUUUCUUUUCUUUUCUUUUCUUUUCUUUUCUUUUCUUUUCUUUUCUUUUCUUUUCUUUUCUUUUCUUAUAGGGUGGAGAAGAAAAAAAAAAAAGUAUUGUCAUCAGAAAAAAAAAAACCUUCUAAAAGAAUCAAAGGGCUUCCUAAAACACCACCUUAUUAUAUAUUGAUUUGGGAUGUGCCUUGUUUUCCCUUCAGCCUUUGACUUGAAUGAUCUUCCAGGCUGAUAAUUGCUUGCAUUUCUCAUAGGACUUCUUUUAUCCAUGAUGUACUUGGUUCAUUCUCCGAGCAUUAGUCCAAAGAGAUAUCAGGUAAUAUGGGUAAAAGCUGGCAGGAUCACAUCACUCCAAGAUGACUUUCUGAGCACAUAUAAGAAUUUGACGGUGGUUGAACAUUGGAAGUGGUUGUUUACAGAGGUUUCAGAGUUUUCAUCUUUGAAGAUACUCAAAACCUAGCUUGUUUUUACAAAAUCAGUCCCUGAGCAUCCUUCUAUGAGCAGGGUUGGGUGGACUAGGUAAUCUCCAGAGGUCCUGUGCAGCCUCACCAGCUCAGUGAUCCUGUGUGAGCAGAGGCAACAGAACAUAAGUCUCUGUGGUUCUGCCACCUAACUCUGCUCAUUGAAUCACAUCAUCUUUGCCAUAAAGCUGUAUAAAGCCAAUAUUAUUAUGGAUGGAGAUCAGUUCUGCAAUCAUUAGAUUGAGUAGCACUUCUUUGUGCCAAUUGUCCCAUUGACUUCCAUGUUAAAUUGACUUGCGAGCACCUCCUGACCUGAAGGUCAGGCUGUUAAUAUACAAUUCAAUUUAAAAAUAAAUCACCAAUAUUAAGACACUUCUUCCAAACUUUGAUUAAUAUUCUUCAUAAUUUACAGACCUAGGAGCCUUGAAUGAAUUAAUAAUUUAUUAACUGGUUUAAUAUAUUGGCAGUCCUAGAGUAGUAAAUGGGUGCAACUGGUAUUAGUUCAGCUUGUCUCAGAUUGGAACUGAUCUCUCCCAGCGAUGAGAGAAAAUUGCAAAUUAUCCAUUUGACGAGAUUUUUUUCUCUUUUGCGAUACACUUCAGAAAGGAGUGAAGGAAAUAGGCUAAAUUGUUUCAUCAUCCUACACAGGUAAACUAAUAAUGAAUUGUUUUUAUACUUCUUUGCAGGAGGUAGGUAUCAGGUAAAACUAAAUUUUCAGUGGGCCCCACAUUUAAUGUCUGACUUAAAUGUAUGCAUUUUUACAUGUCAAUGAAAAAAUCUGCCCUCUCAUCUUGCUCUCAAAAAAUGCACUGGCAGCUGUUUUCCUGUGCUACUGGUAUGAGAAGUUUGACAUACUCAUUUAGUGAUAUUGUUUUCUCAAGUACUUCAGUGUUUGCCUGAUAACACUCCUUCAGUUUUGAUAUUCGGUAACCCCUGGGUGCUCUUCAUAUGCAGGUUUCCACCUACACGUUUUGUGUAUGCAUUGAUUUUUCUAAAGCAGGUCUGAACACUGUGGUAGCUUGGCUCCUACUUGAGUUUAUCCAUCUCAGUAUUGGCAUUGUCUUCAAAGGAAAAGUAACUUUUUUUUUUUCUUUUUAAUCCUUCUUGUGUAUGAAAAAAUACUGAAAGACAUUGCUUUUAGAUUGUCCUGUGGCAAAUUCUCAUUCAUUUUAAAGCUAGUAUCUUCUGAAAUUAGCCACUUAAUUCACAAAAAAAAAAAAAAAAAAAAAAAAAAAAAAA